rnacentral:lncRNA from 1 species
AGAACUGGACACCUCGGGGGUUUCCUGCUUUAUGGCGAAGGGAGGGAGCGCGGAGACCCGGGAGCGGCCUAGGACCGGAGGCGCGACCCCUCGGCCCACCUUGAGGCCCGGCCUAGGACCGGAGGCGCGACCCCUGGGCCCACCUUGAGGCCCGGCCUAGGACUGGAGGCGCGACCCCUCGGCCCACCUUGCGGGAGCCGCCUAGGACCGGAGGCGCGACCCCUCGGCCCAGCUUGAGGCCCGGCCUAGGACCGGAGGCGCGACCCCUCGGCCCACCUUGCGGGAGCCGCCUAGGACCGGAGGCGCGACCCCUCGGCCCACCUUGAGGCCCGGCCUAGGACCGGAGGCGCGACCCCUGGGCCCACCUUGAGGCCCGGCCUAGGACUGGAGGCGCGACCCCUCGGCCCACCUUACGGGAGCCGCCUAGGGCCGGAGGCGCGACCCCUCGGCCCAGCUUGAGGCCCGGCCUAGGACCGGAGGCGCGACCCCUCGGCCCACCUUGAGGCCCGGCCUAGGACUGGAGGCGCGACCCCUCGGCCCACCUUGAGGCCCGGCCUAGGACCGGAGGCGCGACCCCUGGGCCCACCUUGAGGCCCGGCCUAGGACUGGAGGCGCGACCCCUCGGCCCACCUUGAGGCCCGGCCUAGGACCGGAGGCGCGACCCCUGGGCCCACCUGGCGGCCCGGCCGGCACAGCCCGCCUCUCCUCUCCAGGCCAGGGCCCCACACCUUCCGCCUGACAGCCAGCCAAGCUCUUCAGUCCCCCGCCCUCCACCUGCCAGGGAGGCUCCGGGCGUUGUACCUGCCACCACGGGGUAGGUCUGACGGAGUUUUGCUCUUGUUGCCCAAGCUGGAGUGCAAUGGUGCGAUCUUCGCUUACUGCAACCUCUGCUUCCUGGGUUCAAGUGAUUCCCCUGCCUCAGCCUCCCGAGUAGCAGGGAUUACAGAUGGAGCCUCGCUCUGUCACCCAGGCUGGAGUGCAGUGGCACAAUCUCGGGUCACUGCAACCUCCGCCCCCCAGCUUCAAGCGAUUCUCCUGUCUCAGCCUCCCGAGUAGCUAGGAUUACAGGUGCACGCCACCAGGCCUGGCUAAUUUUUAUAUUUUUAGUAGAGAUGGGAUUUUGCCUUGUUGGCCAGGCUGGUCUCAAACUCCUGACCUCAGGUGACCCAUCCACCUUGGCCUCCCAAAGUGCUGGGACUACAGGUGUGAGCCACCAUGCCUGGUCCCCCACUUGUUGAUUUUGCAGAAAAGAUAGCUGUGUUACAACCUGUCCUAAGGUCAGGUAUGAAUACUUGUGCUUCUUUCUUGGCUCCCCAAGCCAGAGGGCAUUCCUAUGCCCAGGUGAGAGAGCACGGAGUGUUACUUUGGCAGCACAGUCAGUUACCAGAGGUAGGAAAAGCAAAGGCCAGGCAGGACAUGAGGGGCCCUUGCACUGGCUGGUUCUCCCUGCCUUCACCACCCUCCAGGUGAAUGACUGGGUGAAUAAUGAUUGACUGAGGAGGUAAUGAAUAAUUUAUGGACACUGCUGGACCUCAGUCUCCUCAUCUGAAAGAUGAGUGGUUGGAGAAGUUUAAUGGUUUUCAAAUGCUUUUUUUUUCAGUCUUCAAAUAAGUGUUUACGUAGAAGCACCAUAUCUGAAACAGGUGACAGUGGACCAGUCUGAAUGAAAUGAGGGUUGGCAGGCCUGAGCUCCAAAACCUUCUGAUUGCCCAAGCCCUCCUUGUCUUGCUUGGAUUAUCUCCACACAAAUGGAGAAACUGGACAAGGUGGUCAUGGAGGUCCCUGAAAGCUCAAAGACUUUCUCAUUCCAGGAUUCCCCAUGUUCAUAUGCCAGCAUGGCAUGGGGGUGCUCUGUAGUCAAGCAGGGUCCUUUGGGGGGCUUAGGGAUGGAGCCAGGAAAUGGCUCUGGGACUCAGCGGGUGUCCAGAGUCUCAUCAGCAGGGUUUCUUUACUUUCACUGAGUGGCUGGUGCCUGCACACUGAGUUUUGCAGGCUUACUCUCACAGAGUGAGCUUCCUGCAGGCCCCCCACUGCAACCCCUUUCCUUCCUGGAGCUGUGUGCUGACUGGUGCGUGAGCACCCCAGGCCCUCUCCCCAUGCUGCUGAUGGUCAGCUUUCUCUGCACGCUCGUGGUUGCCACAGUCAACGCUGAUAAAAUUGCUGAUGCAGAUUGCCUGCCCAGCUGCGAGUGCUGGCACGGGACCAGCAGCCCAGACGGUCACUGGAAGUGGUUGGGCUGAUUAUUGGCAUCAUCUCCAUUGUCCUACUCGGUUCUUAAAGGCAUAUGGACUUGCCUCACUCCUACAGCAAAUGACGGCAUGGGCAAAGAGGGGCAACAGACCCACCCUGAAGACACUCCUCAUCUGGUUGACUUGGCAGGGUUAAGGGAAAAAGAUGUGAUGACUAGGAGCUGAGAGCUUAGUGGUUCUGCCAGAGCUGCAGAGUCUUUGUUGGCCUCAGGGUGGGACCUCUCACAUCUCUGUCAGCUUUUCACGGACACCAACCUGUUAUGAUUCAUUUCACCUGUCCUGAGCACUAGCAAGAAAAAUUCGCUGUAGCUUGUGAUGUAUUAUUCUGGAUUUCUCAACUCAUUCAUUUGUUCAUUCAUUCACUAUACCAUUACUGUCUAUUAUAAGGGGGGCACAAUGGUAGGUGCUGGGAAUAAAAACGAUGUUUAACGUUUCAUGAGGCUUCCCUGU